ensembl:lncRNA
UAUAUAUAUAUAUAUGGGUGACGGAAAGGCUUGGACCCAGUUAAACUCACACUGCUGGUACGACAUGAAGCUGGCUGCCGCGAAGAAGCCGGACGUGGCAGAUGAGAACACCUGUUUCUCUUCAGAGGAGAAACCUUUUACAUUUUCAGUCCCAACAGAUUUAUUUAGAGAUUUAUUCCAGAAAUAUAAGGAAUCAAGGAAAAGUAACUCCGCUCCCUCAGGAAGACAGAAACUGUGAAUUUCUUUUCAUUGUACUCAGUAUGUUUAACUUUGUGAGGUCUCAGUCAGGACCCUAUAUUUUGGAGAGAAGCAAAAGGCAUUCUGAUUGCUGUAACUUUUGGGAAUUGGGAUAAUAACAAAAUGACUUUGUAAUCACUAAGCAUCAGUAUAAUCACUGAGACCUCACAGGAUUAACGAACUUCUACCUCUGGCCACAUCUCUUUAGUUUCCAGAGAAUAUUCAAUAAAGUAAAGCCCUCCCCCCGUGGACUAUUACACUGUAAUAUAUAUUUUCAUAACAGAUGGUUUCAGUCAGGAUUAAAAAAUAACACUAUUACAAAAAGUGUUAUAUAUAUUUUUUGAAAUGAUGAAAGACCACCCUCAGGUAGUGUGUUCUUUAUUUUCUUGGAUAGAAGUGACAUAUUUUGGAAAUCAGAGCAAAGAGAACCAGUGCAUGCAUUCAAAUUGCAGUAUUACAUUUUGUAUUUAGGCCAAUGAAUUCAAAGAUACUGAGUCUGAGGACUCGUCUGGGGUUAAAUACAAAGAGUUGGUUGAAAAAGAAGGAUGUUUUCAAGAGCAAAUCCAAUCUGUCCAUCUGCUGCUGGCUGAUCUUUGGUGCCAGGUGAUCUUACUCUAUUUCCAGAUUGUAAUGACAGCUAAAAUUAGAAAGCAGUUCUAGCACUAUUCUUCAGACCAAUGGGAUGAACAAUACCUGUAGUGUGUCUAAGACAUAAGGCCUCUUGAUGUACCAGUCUUACCUCUUAAUGUUCAAACACUUCCAUAAUAUAUAUCCUAGACACCCUGAGAAGGAUUUGACCAGUCAGUAUCCUGAAAUUCAAGCCCAACAAUAUCAUGAAAUCAUUUGGCUGUUUUAGAAUGUCUUAAAACUUUUCCAGCAUCAGAGUUCCAAACAUGACACCAAAGAAAAGCCAGUAGCAUUUUACCAGCUGGAUACACUGGGUGAUUUUUGAUUCCUUAUGCCUCAGAGAAAUGCUGUAACCACUGUGUUGAGGUGGGUUCUGUAGCUUACUAAUAAUUUCUACCUUGUUAUUGUCGAAAUGGCUGCCACUGCUGUCCGACUAGCUGUUUCAGGACACAGAAAUACAUGAAAUGACCACAAAAUCAUACUUUAGCAGUGGAAAGCAAUGAGUUCCUAUCCUGUUGCCAUGGUUACCAGAGAGUUUUACAUGUACUUACUGGUUAAUUCCAUUAAAAAGUCUUUUUCCAACAUGAUGAUGAUAUCUUGACAGAGUUACACCAAUACUGGACACCAAGAUAUACUCAUCCUCUUAAAGAGUGACAAAGUCCACAUUUGGCAGUUGAAGUUUUCCAUCCUGCUCCCCAUCAAUAAUUCUGCAUGUUUGAAAAUAAUGCUUAGAGGAGCCUUUAAAUAUGACCCCAAUGAGUUUUUUACAAGCAUCCACAUGUGAUGAGUCAGAAUUCACACCCACUGUAACUAUUACUAUUUCUAUCAAACCACAGCCCUGAGAAUACAAUCUUGGUUUUAUCUGUUACUCCUUUUCCACAGAUAUGGUGCUGGUGGCUAAUCUAGAUCUGUUUUUAUGCAUUUCCACCAAAAGGAGAACAGUUCCACCCAAUUGCUGAGCCCAUAGCUGGACCCCCUAAUGCCAGCGGCUCUGGGAGGGCUACCAUAAGAAAGGCAAUAAUAAUUAACAGGUUCAGCCCACAGAAUUAUUUUUCUUCCAAUGGAAAGUACCUCAACUUCUGUCAGUAUUAACCCAAUAAACUUAUAAAAUUAUAAGUUCUCAAACUCUUGAAAAUGUGGGUUCGUUCUUAAAAGUCACUGUCACAGAACUGGCACCAGCACCAGAAGGUAGGAGUUAAGUUUUGACAAAAAUGUAGUGUUUGACCUCCUGGGUUAAAAUACAGGGCUGAUUUCCUGUAGUGAGGUCUGGCUGCCCUAACCAUAACACUGACUGAGAAAGAAAACAAUAAUUACUGUCCAACAUGGGACACAAACUGCGCUCUCCUCAUUGACAGUCUUGGGUUCAAGCUGCUCUACCACCUUACCCUUCUGAGGUGUAAGGUGACUUUUAUUCUACUGCUACCAUUAAUCACAUGAUGUUUGUAGACAUGUCAUGUAUUUCUGCAAGACCAAGUUGAGCUGUGUAGAUAUGCCAUGUCAUGUGUGGUGGAUUCAUUGAGGAUAAAAAACUGACCCUGAUGGAUGUGUUGGAAGUGGACCACUAUCUAUAAAACUCUUGUCAUUGUACACUGAUGUAAACACCGCUGCCCUGUUAGCUCUGACACUGAGAAGUGUGCCGUCACUGUGGUUUUUUUUCUCGUUGAUGUUGCAGUUAGACGUCGUGCUGUUACCUCUUCUUGUGCCUGUACGUGCCUUUUUUCACAGAGUACUAUUUGUUUGCUGUUCCUCUGUCGUGUUGAACUCUCAAGCAGCCAACGUGCCACUCCUACACGCCUGGAAAUCUUUUAAUGUAAGCAAAAAUGGUUGAUGGGGGAACACCUACAGUGUCUGCACAUGUGUGCUGUGUGGAGCAUGUACAAAACCUGCUCAGUGUUAGUUACAGUUUCACCUUUUAUUGUGUCUAGACAAAAGCACUUUCGAUUACUCUUCAAUAAAAUAAAGAGUUUAAAAGCUUCUAAAA